ACUGUGCCGGUGCCAGCCUGGUGUCUAUGCACGUCCCUGCGGGACCCUACCAUCUGGACCCAGCCCCUGGGGCUGCAGAUGGCAGGGGGAUCAGAGUGGGGGGGGUUCUGCAUGGAGAGCAUUACCUGCCUUCCAGCUGUGCGGCUUUGUCCCCACAGCCCAGGCUGUGACAGAUGCUGCCAUGCGUGUGAACAGGCCCAAGGAUGGGCUCCGUCCAGAACGGCCUGGAGCCCUGGGGGUGCAGCGCCUCAUCCCGAAGAACCGGCGGCCUCGCCCCAAACCAUUGCAGACACGCACAGACGCCGUCCAGCUCCAAGCUCCUGUUGCCACCCCCACCCUCAGGGUCCGCGCUGGGGCCCGAACUGACCCCCACAUGCCUCGUCCCCCACGCCAGCCUGGGGACAGCACCCUAACGACUGUGGCCUCCGCAACCCAGCCUCCUAGCCAGCCCAACAGCGCCUGGAUGGACCCAGCCUCCUCCACCCUCACAACCACCCCCCCUCCUGGCCAGUCCUACAGCAUCUGGACCAGCUCAGCCUCUCCUACUCCCACCCCUCCUCCCAGCCAGCCCCACAGCACCUGGACUGGCCCAGCCUCCCCUACCUCUACCUCUACAACCACCCAUCCUCCUGGCCAGCCCCACAGCACCCGGAUGUACCUGGCCUCCCCUACCCCCAUCCUCACAACCACGCACCAUCCCAGCCAGCCCCAGAGAGCCUGGACCAGCCUAGCCUCCCCCAUCCCCACAACCACUCCCCUUUCCAGCCAGCCCCACAGCACCCAGAUGGGCCUUGUCUCCCCUAAUAUCACCCACAUCCUCACAAUGACCCACAGAGCCCAAACAGACCCAAGCUUCCCCAUUCCAGCAACCACUCAGUCUCUGAACAUGGCCCACAGCAUGUGGCCAGGCCUGGCCCCCACCUCUCCCUCCUACACAACCACCCAGCUUCCUAGCCAGACCCACACCACUCGGAUGGGCCCAGCUCCCUCCGACCCCACAACCACCCAGCCUCAGGACGAGACCCACAGCGC
rnacentral:lncRNA from 1 species